rnacentral:lncRNA from 1 species
UCACCUUAUGGAAAAAGAAGGCUUUCAUCGGAAGUGUGACUCUUGGUGGGUCAAGGAUGGUCCCGUCACUAUCAAGGAUAUGGUGCAUACGAAGUCAUUCUCUAUUUGAUAAGUGAUUUCUUCACAAUAAUGAUGGUGAAAGGGAUUGGUACUUCAGAUCUGAACGUUUGGUAACGGUGUGACCGGAAACCAUGGGUGGUGUUUCGUUGGAUGUGUCGCUCGGUCUGGGUGAACCGUCAUUGGAGACGUGGACUUUUAUCUCGUCUGUUGCCAAGUGCGACGGCAGGUUUAUCUUACUCUAGAGCUAGGCAUUUCAAAUGUUUCAUUGAUUUACGAGGAAGGGGCUUAACAAAGGUGGCUGAGUUUUCUUUCAAUUUUACUUUGGUUACAGGUACGAGGUAGCAGCUUUAUCUUUUUCUUGUUU